rnacentral:rRNA from 1 species
AGAGUUUGAUUCUGGCUCAGAACGAACGCUGGCGGCGUGGAUAAGACAUGCAAGUCGAACGGGACUAUCAGAGUAGCAAUAUGAUGAUAGUUCAGUGGCGAACGGGUGCGUAACACGUGGAUACAUUCCGGGAAGCGGGGGAUAGCCCAGGGAAACUUGGAUUAAUACCGCAUGUGAUCGAAAGAUCAAAGACGGGGACCGCAAGGCCUGUCACUUCCCGAUUGGUCCGCGGCCUAUCAGCUAGUUGGUGGGGUAAAAGCCCACCAAGGCGACGACGGGUAGCUGGUCUGAGAGGACGACCAGCCACACUGGAACUGAGACACGGUCCAGACACCUACGGGUGGCAGCAGUCGAGAAUCUUUCACAAUGGGGGCAACCCUGAUGGAGCGACGCCGCGUGGAGGAUAAGGUCUUCGGAUUGUAAACUCCUGUCAUGCGUGAACAAGAUUGCCGGGCUAAUAACCCGCGCAAGUUGAUGGUAACGCAAGAGGAAGAGACGGCUAACUCUGUGCCAGCAGCCGCGGUAAUACAGAGGUCUCAAGCGUUGUUCGGAAUCACUGGGCGUAAAGGGUGCGUAGGUGGCGUGGUAAGUCAGAUGUGAAAGCCUGGGGCUCAACCUCAGAAUUGCAUCCGAUACUGCCGUGCUUGAGUACUGGAGAGGUGACUAGAAUUCUAGGUGUAGCAGUGAAAUGCGUAGAUAUCUAGAGGAAUACCAAAGGCGUANGCAGGUCACUGGACAGUUACUGACACUGAGGCACGAANGCCAGGGGAGCAAACGGGAUUAGAUACCCCGGUAGUCCUGGCAGUAAACGGUGCACACUUGGUGUGGGANGAUUCGACCCCUCCUGUGCCGGAGCUAA